rnacentral:tRNA from 1 species
GGCCCUGUGGCGAAAUGGCAGCCGCGCCGGAUCCAAAACCCGGUGUCUCGCGACGUGUGGGUUCGACUCCCUCCAGGGCUA